CGGGCAGGAAUGCUUCUCCAGACUUGAGGGCCCUAGUGUCAAGCACUCCAUGAUCUAGACAGGUUACGUACAUGUAGUCAUGUACAUAUCUGCCGUGUACAAUUACUACGAAUUAUACGUAGCUAGAUACCUGGCUAACCAAGUUAAGUAUCCAAUGGGAUUGCUUGAUAAGCCAUACAUUAUGCUAAGCUAGUUACACCGUCGUUCUUCACAGCCUUUGCCGGAUUCAAUGCUGCCGCAGCCUUGUAUCAAGGGUCUCAGGGCGAUAGGCAGCAGAGUCACGAUCGUGGUCAUACUGAUUGAUGCCUGCCAGCCCGGCCACCUGAUGAUCAUCUCUGGCUUUGCAUUCACGUAUGUUUGACAAAACAGCCAAAGUUGUACGGAGUGAACACAAACCGAGCCUUGCUGGUUUGGGAUGGGGAGCCUCGCAAGACGCCUCGGCAUCAGCCCCAUUAUUAUUGUCCGACCGCCAGUGUCCGCCACAGCGUUCAGUCAGCGUCCAAUAACGCAGGGCGAGGUAAUCGUUGUUGGGACUGAUUGACGGUGUGCCUGGGAUAAGACACAGGCACCCACGAUCGGUGCCGCUGGACGAACCUUGCUCUGAAUGGUAUGACCACGUUCAACUACCGCCUGCUUAGUUACUACGAAUGUGCAAGAGUACAAAUGAAAUUAAAUCAGAUGAUAGAUCAUGAUAAGACAGGCAAUCCUUUGAUCAUCAU
rnacentral:lncRNA from 1 species